rnacentral:rRNA from 1 species
AUGGAGCAUUGUGUCAAGCAGCUUGUGCGCGGCGAGCCAUCUUUGCCGAUGCAAGUCGAGAGCUCCAUGGGCAAGGCGAAGGGGAAGCAGCGGCAGGACGAGUACUACCACCUCGCCAAGGAGCAGGGCUACCGGAGCCGCGCGGCCUUCAAGCUGCAGCAGCUCGACGACCGCUUCCGGUUCCUCCCGCCGGCGCGCGCCGUGCUCGACCUCUGCGCGGCGCCGGGGGGCUGGAUGCAGGUGGCCGUCGCCCGUGCCCCCGCCGGCGCCUUUGUCGUCGGCGUCGACCUCGUGCCCGUCCGCCCCAUCCGCGACGCGCACUCCCUCACGGAGGACAUCACCACCACCAAGUGCCGCUCCGCCGUGCGGAGGCUCAUGGACUCCAAGGGGGUCACCGCCUUCGACGUCGUGCUUCACGACGGCUCGCCCGACGUCGGCGGCGCGUGGCGGCGGCCACAGCCCCCCGGCGCGAGAAGAGAGGAGAGAGAGAGAGGAGAAAGAGACUAG